AUAAAGGUUAUGAUUGGGAUAAAACGACAUAUCCUGCUGCAGAGAGCCGGUGGUUGCUGCGAACCGGUGCGAAGUGUCGCCAUAGCUCACCCAUGAACUCCUCCCUUGAAGCCGGCAUUGAUCCGGUUAGAGAGAGGCGCUUGCCGGGCGUUGAACGGAAGUCGGCUUGCAUUUUACCGGCGCGUGAGUGAAAUGUAGGGUGGUACCGCGGUUUAACCGCCCCUAUU
rnacentral:ncRNA from 1 species